rnacentral:rRNA from 1 species
CGCUGGCGGCGUGCCUAACACAUGCAAGUCGAACGAAGCUUGACGAAUGAUUUCUUCGGAAUGAAAUCUGAUAUGACUGAGUGGCGGACGGGUGAGUAACGCGUGAGCAACCUGCCCUUCGGAACGGGAUAGUGUCUGGAAACGGACAGUAAUACCGUAUAACGUAUUUUUACCGCAUGAUAGAAAUACCAAAACUGAGGUGCCGAAGGAUGGGCUCGCGUCUGAUUAGAUAGUUGGUGGGGUAACGGCCUACCAAGUCGACGAUCAGUAGCCGGACUGAGAGGUUGAACGGCCACAUUGGGACUGAGACACGGCCCAGACUCCUACGGGAGGCAGCAGUGGGGAAUAUUGCACAAUGGGGGAAACCCUGAUGCAGCAACGCCGCGUGAAGGAAGACGGUUUUCGGAUUGUAAACUUCUGUUCUUAGUGAAGAAUAAUGACGGUAGCUAAGGAGCAAGCCACGGCUAACUACGUGCCAGCAGCCGCGGUAAUACGUAGGUGGCAAGCGUUGUCCGGAAUUACUGGGUGUAAAGGGAGCGUAGGCGGGAUGCCAAGUCAGCUGUGAAAACUAUGGGCUUAACCUGUAGACUGCAGUUGAAACUGGUAUUCUUGAGUGAAGUAGAGGUUGGCGGAAUUCCGAGUGUAGCGGUGAAAUGCGUAGAUAUUCGGAGGAACACCGGUGGCGAAGGCGGCCAACUGGGCUUUAACUGACGCUGAGGCUCGAAAGUGUGGGGAGCAAACAGGAUUAGAUACCCUGGUAGUCCACACUGUAAACGAUGAUAACUAGGUGUGGGGGGUCUGACCCCUUCCGUGCCGCAGCUAACGCAAUAAGUUAUCCACCUGGGGAGUACGACCGCAAGGUUGAAACUCAAAG